AGAACGAACGCUGGCGGCAUGCCUAAUACAUGCAAGUCGAACGAACUCUUCGGAGUUAGUGGCGCACGGGUGCGUAACGCGUGGGAAUCUGCCCCUUGGUUCGGAAUAACAGUUGGAAACGACUGCUAAUACCGGAUGAUGACGAAAGUCCAAAGAUUUAUCGCCAAGGGAUGAGCCCGCGUAGGAUUAGCUAGUUGGUGAGGUAAAGGCUCACCAAGGCAACGAUCCUUAGCUGGUCUGAGAGGAUGAUCAGCCACACUGGGACUGAGACACGGCCCAGACUCCUACGGGAGGCAGCAGUAGGGAAUAUUGGACAAUGGGCGAAAGCCUGAUCCAGCAAUGCCGCGUGAGUGAUGAAGGCCUUAGGGUUGUAAAGC
rnacentral:rRNA from 1 species